GUAGGGAAUAUUGGUCAAUGGGCGGAAGCCUGAACCAGCCAUCCCGCGUGGAGGAAGACGGCCCUAUGGGUUGUAAACUUCUUUUCAAGGGGAAGAAAGUUCGCGACGUGUCGCGAUUUGCCGGUACCUUUGGAAUAAGCAUCGGCUAACUCCGUGCCAGCAGCCGCGGUAAUACGGAGGAUGCGAGCGUUAUCCGGAUUUAUUGGGUUUAAAGGGUGCGUAGGCCGAUCGAUAAGUCAGCGGUGAAAUACCAUGGCCCAACCAUGGAACUGCCGUUGAUACUGUCGGUCUUGAAUAUGGUCAAGGUAGGCGGAAUGUGUAAUGUAGCGGUGAAAUGCUUAGAUAUUACACAGAACACCGAUUGCGAAGGCAGCUUACUGGUCCAUUAUUGACGCUGAGGCACGAAAGCGUGGGGAUCGAACAGGAUUAGAUAUCCGAGUAGUCC
rnacentral:rRNA from 1 species